rnacentral:rRNA from 1 species
CCUACGGGUGGCAGCAGUGAGGAAUAUUGGUCAAUGGACGCAAGUCUGAACCAGCCAUGCCGCGUGCAGGAAGACGGCUCUAUGAGUUGUAAACUGCUUUUGUACGAGGGUAAACGCAGAUACGCGUAUCUGUCUGAAAGUAUCGUACGAAUAAGGAUCGGCUAACUCCGUGCCAGCAGCCGCGGUAAUACGGAGGAUUCAAGCGUUAUCCGGAUUUAUUGGGUUUAAAGGGUGCGUAGGCGGUGGGAUAAGUUAGGGGUGAAAUCCCGAGGCUCAACUUCGGAAUUGCCUCUGAUACUGUUCGUCUAGAGAGUAGUUGCGGUAGGCGGAAUGUAUGGUGUAGCGGUGAAAUGCUUAGAGAUCAUACAGAACACCGAUUGCGAAGGCAGCUUACCAAGCUACUUCUGACGUUGAGGCACGAAAGCGUGGGGAGCAAACAGGAUUAGAUACCCUGGUAGUC